rnacentral:rRNA from 1 species
UACGUAGGCAGCAAGCGUUGUUCGGAGUUACUGGGCGUAAAGGGUGUGUAGGCGGUUCCUUAAGUUUGCUGUAAAAUCUCCCGGCUUAACCGGGAGGGUGCGGUGAAUACUGAGGGACUAGAGUACGGGAGAGGAAAGUGGAAUUCCUGGUGUAGCGGUGAAAUGCGCAGAUAUCAGGAGGAACACCAAUUGCGAAGGCAGCUCGCUGGGACGUUACUGACGCUGAGACGCGAAAGCGUGGGGAGCAAACAGG